rnacentral:rRNA from 1 species
GUUUGAUCCUGGCUCAGAACUAACGCUGGCGGCGCGUCUUAAACAUGCAAGUCGAGCGGAAAGGCCCGCAAGGGUACUCGAGCGGCAAACGGGUGAGUAACACGUAGGUAAUCUUCCUUCCAGUGGGGGACAACCUGCCGAAAGGCAGGCUAAUACCGCAUAUUGCCAGACUUUCUACGGAUUGUCUGAUGAAAGCAGUAAUGCGCUGGAAGAUGAGCCUGCGGCUGAUUAGCUUGUUGGCGGGGUAACGGCCCACCAAGGCGACGAUCAGUAGCCGGCCUGAGAGGGUGGACGGCCACACUGGGACUGGGACACGGCCCAGACUCCUACGGGAGGCAGCAGUUAAGAAUCUUGUGCAAUGGGCGAAAGCCUGACACACGCGACGCCGCGUGCGCGAUGAAGCUCGGUGUAAGAGCGAUAGACAGGACGAAG